rnacentral:rRNA from 1 species
CCUACGGGAGGCUGCAGUGGGGAAUAUUGGACAAUGGGCGAAAGCCUGAUCCAGCCAUGCCGCGUGUGUGAAGAAGGCCUUCGGGUUGUAAAGCACUUUCAGUGGGGAAGAAAGCCUUGGGGCUAAUACCCUCGAGGAAGGACAUCACCCACAGAAGAAGCACCGGCUAACUCCGUGCCAGCAGCCGCGGUAAUACGGAGGGUGCGAGCGUUAAUCGGAAUUACUGGGCGUAAAGCGCGCGUAGGCGGUCUGAUAAGCCGGUUGUGAAAGCCCCGGGCUCAACCUGGGAACGGCAUCCGGAACUGUCAGGCUAGAGUGCAGGAGAGGAAGGUAGAAUUCCCGGUGUAGCGGUGAAAUGCGUAGAGAUCGGGAGGAAUACCAGUGGCGAAGGCGGUCUUCUGGACUGACACUGACGCUGAGGUACGAAAGCGUGGGUAGCAAACAGGAUUAGAUACCCCAGUAGUC